UACAGAGGUCUCAAGCGUUGUUCGGAUUCAUUGGGCGUAAAGGGUGCGUAGGCGGCGCGGUAAGUCGGGUGUGAAAUCUUGGAGCUUAACUCCGAAACUGCAUUCGAUACUGCCGUGCUUGAGGACUGGAGAGGAGACUGGAAUUUACGGUGUAGCGGUGAAAUGCGUAGAUAUCUGGAGGAACACCGAUUGCGAAGGCAGCUCGCUGGGACGUAACUGACGCUGAGACGCGAAAGCGUGGGGAGCAAACAGG
rnacentral:rRNA from 1 species